UACAGAGGUGGCAAGCGUUGUUCGGAAUUACUGGGCGUAAAGGGCGCGUAGGCGGCCAUCUAAGUCAGACGUGAAAUCCCCGGGCUUAACCUGGGAACCGCAUUUGUGACUGCAUAGCUGGAGUACGGCAGAGGGGGAUGGAAUUCCGCGUGUAGCAGUGAAAUGCGUAGAUAUGCGGAGGAACACCGAUGGCGAAGGCAGUCCCCUGGGCCUGUACUGACGCUCAUGCACGAAAGCGUGGGGAGCAAACAGG
rnacentral:rRNA from 1 species